rnacentral:rRNA from 1 species
UACGGGGGGUGCAAGCGUUGUUCGGAAUUACUGGGCUUAAAGGGCUCGUAGGUGGCCAACUAAGCCAGACGUGAAAUCCCUCAGCUUAACUGGGGAACUGCGUCUGAUACUGGAUGGCUUGAGUUGGGGAGAGGGAUGCGGAAUUCCAGGUGUAGCGGUGAAAUGCGUAGAUAUCUGGAGGAACACCGGUGGCGAAGGCGGCAUCCUGGACCAACACUGACACUGAGGAGCGAAAGCCAGGGGAGCAAACGGG